rnacentral:rRNA from 1 species
UACGAAGGCCACAAGCGUUAUCCGGAUUUAUUGGGCGUAAAGGGCGCGUAGGCGGUUCGGUGCGUCUCUUGUUAAAUUCCGCUGCUCAACGGCGGAGCUGCAAGGGAUACGGCCGGACUCGAGAGUGUUAGAGGCAGAUGGAACUCAUGGUGUAGGGGUGAAAUCCGUUGAUAUCAUGGGGAACACCGAAGGCGAAGGCAAUCUGCUGGGACAUUUCUGACGCUGAGGCGCGAAAGCGUGGGGAG